rnacentral:rRNA from 1 species
UACGGAGGGGACUAGCGUUGUUCGGAAUUACUGGGCGUAAAGCGCACGUAGGCGGAUUUGUAAGUCAGGGGUGAAAUCCCGAGGCUCAACCUCGGAACUGCCUUUGAUACUGCGAAUCUAGAGUCCGGAAGAGGUGAGUGGAAUUCCUAGUGUAGAGGUGAAAUUCGUAGAUAUUAGGAAGAACACCAGUGGCGAAGGCGACUUACUGGACACAUACUGACGCUGAGGUGCGAAAGCGUGGGGAGCAAACAG